rnacentral:rRNA from 1 species
GGGUUGUGAGGUUAAGCGACUAAGCGUACACGGUGGAUGCCCUGGCAGUCAGAGGCGAUGAAGGACGUGCUAAUCUGCGAUAAGCGUCGGUAAGGUGAUAUGAACCGUUAUAACCGGCGAUUUCCGAAUGGGGAAACCCAGUGUGAUUCGUCACACUAUCAUUAACUGAAUCCAUAGGUUAAUGAGGCGAACCGGGGGAACUGAAACAUCUAAGUACCCCGAGGAAAAGAAAUCAACCGAGAUUCCCCCAGUAGCGGCGAGCGAACGGGGAGCAGCCCAGAGCCUGAAUCAGUGUGUGUGUUAGUGGAAGCGUCUGGAAAGGCGCGCGAUACAGGGUGACAGCCCCGUACACAAAAAUGCACAUGCUGUGAGCUCGAUGAGUAGGGCGGGACACGUGGUAUCCUGUCUGAAUAUGGGGGGACCAUCCUCCAAGGCUAAAUACUCCUGACUGACCGAUAGUGAACCAGUACCGUGAGGGAAAGGCGAAAAGAACCCCGGCGAGGGGAGUGAAAAAGAACCUGAAACCGUGUACGUACAAGCAGUGGGAGCACAGAGCAAUCUGUGUGACUGCGUACCUUUUGUAUAAUGGGUCAGCGACUUAUAUUCUGUAGCAAGGUUAACCGAAUAGGGGAGCCGAAGGGAAACCGAGUCUUAACUGGGCGUUAAGUUGCAGGGUAUAGACCCGAAACCCGGUGAUCUAGCCAUGGGCAGGUUGAAGGUUGGGUAACACUAACUGGAGGACCGAACCGACUAAUGUUGAAAAAUUAGCGGAUGACUUGUGGCUGGGGGUGAAAGGCCAAUCAAACCGGGAGAUAGCUGGUUCUCCCCGAAAGCUAUUUAGGUAGCGCCUCGUGAAUUCAUCUCCGGGGGUAGAGCACUGUUUCGGCAAGGGGGUCAUCCCGACUUACCAACCCGAUGCAAACUGCGAAUACCGGAGAAUGUUAUCACGGGAGACACACGGCGGGUGCUAACGUCCGUCGUGAAGAGGGAAACAACCCAGACCGCCAGCUAAGGUCCCAAAGUCAUGGUUAAGUGGGAAACGAUGUGGGAAGGCCCAGACAGCCAGGAUGUUGGCUUAGAAGCAGCCAUCAUUUAAAGAAAGCGUAAUAGCUCACUGGUCGAGUCGGCCUGCGCGGAAGAUGUAACGGGGCUAAACCAUGCACCGAAGCUGCGGCAGCGACGCUUAUGCGUUGUUGGGUAGGGGAGCGUUCUGUAAGCCUGUGAAGGUGUGCUGUGAGGCAUGCUGGAGGUAUCAGAAGUGCGAAUGCUGACAUAAGUAACGAUAAAGCGGGUGAAAAGCCCGCUCGCCGGAAGACCAAGGGUUCCUGUCCAACGUUAAUCGGGGCAGGGUGAGUCGACCCCUAAGGCGAGGCCGAAAGGCGUAGUCGAUGGGAAACAGGUUAAUAUUCCUGUACUUGGUGUUACUGCGAAGGGGGGACGGAGAAGGCUAUGUUGGCCGGGCGACGGUUGUCCCGGUUUAAGCGUGUAGGCUGGUUUUCCAGGCAAAUCCGGAAAAUCAAGGCUGAGGCGUGAUGACGAGGCACUACGGUGCUGAAGCAACAAAUGCCCUGCUUCCAGGAAAAGCCUCUAAGCAUCAGGUAACAUCAAAUCGUACCCCAAACCGACACAGGUGGUCAGGUAGAGAAUACCAAGGCGCUUGAGAGAACUCGGGUGAAGGAACUAGGCAAAAUGGUGCCGUAACUUCGGGAGAAGGCACGCUGAUAUGUAGGUGAAGUCCCUCGCGGAUGGAGCUGAAAUCAGUCGAAGAUACCAGCUGGCUGCAACUGUUUAUUAAAAACACAGCACUGUGCAAACACGAAAGUGGACGUAUACGGUGUGACGCCUGCCCGGUGCCGGAAGGUUAAUUGAUGGGGUUAGCGCAAGCGAAGCUCUUGAUCGAAGCCCCGGUAAACGGCGGCCGUAACUAUAACGGUCCUAAGGUAGCGAAAUUCCUUGUCGGGUAAGUUCCGACCUGCACGAAUGGCGUAAUGAUGGCCAGGCUGUCUCCACCCGAGACUCAGUGAAAUUGAACUCGCUGUGAAGAUGCAGUGUACCCGCGGCAAGACGGAAAGACCCCGUGAACCUUUACUAUAGCUUGACACUGAACAUUGAGCCUUGAUGUGUAGGAUAGGUGGGAGGCUUUGAAGUGUGGACGCCAGUCUGCAUGGAGCCGACCUUGAAAUACCACCCUUUAAUGUUUGAUGUUCUAACGUUGACCCGUAAUCCGGGUUGCGGACAGUGUCUGGUGGGUAGUUUGACUGGGGCGGUCUCCUCCUAAAGAGUAACGGAGGAGCACGAAGGUUGGCUAAUCCUGGUCGGACAUCAGGAGGUUAGUGCAAUGGCAUAAGCCAGCUUGACUGCGAGCGUGACGGCGCGAGCAGGUGCGAAAGCAGGUCAUAGUGAUCCGGUGGUUCUGAAUGGAAGGGCCAUCGCUCAACGGAUAAAAGGUACUCCGGGGAUAACAGGCUGAUACCGCCCAAGAGUUCAUAUCGACGGCGGUGUUUGGCACCUCGAUGUCGGCUCAUCACAUCCUGGGGCUGAAGUAGGUCCCAAGGGUAUGGCUGUUCGCCAUUUAAAGUGGUACGCGAGCUGGGUUUAGAACGUCGUGAGACAGUUCGGUCCCUAUCUGCCGUGGGCGCUGGAGAACUGAGGGGGGCUGCUCCUAGUACGAGAGGACCGGAGUGGACGCAUCACUGGUGUUCGGGUUGUCAUGCCAAUGGCACUGCCCGGUAGCUAAAUGCGGAAGAGAUAAGUGCUGAAAGCAUCUAAGCACGAAACUUGCCCCGAGAUGAGUUCUCCCUGAC